rnacentral:lncRNA from 1 species
CCAAUGAGAAUGAAGGCUGAGGUGUGCGCCUUUUUUUUUUUUCCUUCUUAGUCGUGUGUACAUCAUUGGGAAUGGAGGGAAAUAAAUGACUGGAUGGUCGCUGCUUUUUAAGUUUCAAAUUGACAUUCCAGACAAGCGGUGCCUGAGCCCGUGCCUGUCUUCAGAUCUUCACAGCACAGUUCCUGGGAAGGUGGAGCCACCAGCCUCUCCCUGACAAGCAAAGUGGAUCAGCAAAGGCUGCAGUCACCAGCAUCUUUUCCAACCUUAAUGAACUGUAUCCUCAAAAGAACACUAUCAGACUGGCUCUGCCGACUUCCAGUUCUGGAACAAGAUGGUUAAACUCAUUUUUCCCUGCUCUGCUCCUCUAAAUACAACUAAGUACCUUGGAAACUAUUCAGCAGACAAUGAUAAAGGGCUCUGAAAGCUAGAAGAAAAGGUGUACUUGCAAGAAACCUCAGGACUUGAGUAACAGCAACAUGGUAAGUUUUCUAAGUUUUCUUUUUGUCUCCCAUAUACGCUGGGCUGUGCUGGAAUCACCAACAGGCACAGAAAAAAUGACAACAAAACAACAACAAAACCCCCAAGAAUAUCCUGUUGUCUUUGGCCAAAGUUCAGGAAAGGGGAGCCCCAACAGAGACCCAGUAGGAAGCUCUAGCCCCUGUUUUGUACAACCCAGGGUCCUUGCAGAGAGAUUGAUCUGCCAGCAGUGGCAUCAGCAGCAAUAGUAGCAGCAGCAAAGCCCUGGACAGUCCUGGCCCCCAGUCCACAACUUAGACACAGCACAUGGCCUAAUUCACCCACAGAAGCAGCCACUGUGAAGCCCUGUGUCUCCCCAGACUCCAUCCAGUGGCAUAAGGAGACCCAGGCCCUGCAGCUUCCUCCCCAUCAUGGAAGGCUGUCCAUCUACAGAGUUUCCAAACAUAAUAAGCACUAAGGAAACAACAUAACAUGAUAUGCCGAAAAAAAAAA